ensembl:lncRNA
CAGGUCUCACACUUUGCUCUGUCAGUGUGUGUGAAAAUGGCGGAACUUGCUAUUCUAAUGGAAAAGGAAACAUAUGUGUCUGCAUGCCUGGAUUCAGUGGGGAACAUUGUGAAAAUGGUUUGAGGCCUUUAAUAUUUUCACUUUUGAUGAACACGAUUAAAGUUUCUGAGUAAAGUAAGACAUUUUCAUGUCCUAAUUCCUGCAGAAAUUGACGAAUGCCAGUCAAACCCUUGUCGCAAUGGUGGUACAUGCAUUGACGGGUUAAAUGCUUUCAGUUGUGUCUGUCUGCCCAGCUAUUCAGGAGCCCUCUGUGAGCAAGAUACGGAGGUUUGUGACUUUGGCUGGCACAAGUUUCAGAGUCACUGCUAUAAGUACUUCACACACCGGCGGACAUGGGAAGCAGCGGAAAGAGAGUGUCGUCUGCAGGGCGGUCACCUCACCAGCGUCCUGUCCCAUGAAGAGCAGCUCUUUGUUAAUCGUUUGGGGCAUGACUAUCAGUGGAUUGGACUGAAUGAUAAAAUGUUUGACAGUGAUUUCCGCUGGACUGAUGGACACCCUAUGGUAAGAUGGGAUUCAUUAUUUUGAUCCUAAUAAAAUCUGUUUAUUAGAUGCACGUCUGUGUUCCAGGUGACCAUGAAUUCAGAGAUAUGAGUCAUUCUUGGUGU